CACGUAGGGGGCAAGCGUUGUCCGGAUUUAUUGGGCGUAAAGAGCUCGUAGGCGGCUUAGUAAGUCGGGUGUGAAACCUCCAGGCUCAACCUGGAGACGCCACCCGAUACUGCUGUGGCUAGAGUCCGGUAGGGGAGCGUGGAAUUCCUGGUGUAGCGGUGAAAUGCGCAGAUAUCAGGAAGAACACCCGUGGCUAAGGCGGCUCUCUAGUACGGUACUGACGCUGAGACGCGAAAGCGUGGGGAGCGAACGGG
rnacentral:rRNA from 1 species